rnacentral:rRNA from 1 species
GACGAACGCUGGCGGCGUGCUUAACACAUGCAAGUCGAACGGAAAGGCCCUGCUUGCAGGGUGCUCGAGUGGCGAACGGGUGAGUAACACGUGGGUGAUCUGCCCCUUACUUUGGGAUAAGCCUGGGAAACUGGGUCUAAUACUGGAUAGGACCAUGCUGUAGGUGGUGUGGUGGAAAGAUUAGUUUCGGUAAGGGAUGAGCUCGCGGCCUAUCAGCUUGUUGGUGGGGUAAUGGCCUACCAAGGCGUCGACGGGUAGCCGGCCUGAGAGGGUGGACGGCCACAUUGGGCCUGAGAUACGGCCCAGACUCCUACGGGAGGCAGCAGUGGGGAAUAUUACACAAUGGGCGCAAGCCUGAUGCAGCGACGCCGCGUGGGGGAUGACGGCCUUCGGGUUGUAAACUCCUUUCAGCCAUGACGAAGCCUUCGGGUGACGGUAGUGGUAGAAGAAGCACCGGCUAACUACGU